CUUGUAGGUGUUCUAUCACCGUAUAAAGUGAAGUGACGUCUGCUGUAACUAAAAACAUAUCUUCUGUCCAAUUAAAAUCAAAUAAAAGGUUUAAAAUAUGCGUAGAGUCUCUCAAGUAUGAUUUGCGGCAGGGUACCAUCUUUUGUAGAUAUUGGUCAACAUAUUCAGAGAGAUUGGCAGUGAGGGAUCCAAUUCCAGAGAUAAUCGGUCUUCCCGGCGGUUUUGUCAGUUGCUUAUGAAUUUUAGGUAGAUGAUAGAAGACUGGUAUC